rnacentral:rRNA from 1 species
UACGGAGGGAGCUAGCGUUGUUCGGAAUUACUGGGCGUAAAGCGCGCGUAGGCGGCUAUUCAAGUCAGAGGUGAAAGCCCGGGGCUCAACCCCGGAAUAGCCUUUGAAACUAGAUAGCUAGAAUCUGGGAGAGGUGAGUGGAAUUCCGAGUGUAGAGGUGAAAUUCGUAGAUAUUCGGAAGAACACCAGUGGCGAAGGCGGCUCACUGGACCAGAAUUGACGCUGAGGUGCGAAAGCGUGGGGAGCAAAC